rnacentral:rRNA from 1 species
UACGGAGGGUGCAAGCGUUAUCCGGAUUCACUGGGUUUAAAGGGUGCGUAGGUGGAUAUGUAAGUCAGUGGUGAAAUCUCCAAGCUUAACUUGGAAACUGCCGUUGAUACUAUAUAUCUUGAAUGCUGUGGAGGUGAGCGGAAUAUGACAUGUAGCGGUGAAAUGCUUAGAUAUGACAUAGAACACCAAUUGCGAAGGCAGCUCCCUACACAGAUAUUGACGCUGAGGCACGAAAGCGUGGGGAUCAAACAGG